rnacentral:rRNA from 1 species
AGUGAACGCUGGCGGCAGGCCUAAUACAUGCAAGUCGAACGGCAGCACGGCAGAGCUUGCUCUGUGGGUGGCGAGUGGCGGACGGGUGAGGAAUACAUGGGAAUCUGCCCAGUCGUGGGGGAUAACGUAGGGAAACUUACGCUAAUACCGCAUGCGCCCUUCGGGGAAAGCCGGGGACCUUCGGGCCUGGCGCGAUUGGAUGAGCCCAUGUCGGAUUAGCUAGUUGGCGGGGUAAUGGCCCACCAAGGCGACGAUCCGUAGCUGGUCUGAGAGGAUGAUCAGCCACACUGGAACUGAGACACGGUCCAGACUCCUACGGGAGGCAGCAGUAGGGAAUAUUGGACAAUGGGCGCAAGCCUGAUCCAGCCAUGCCGCGUGAGUGAAGAAGGCCCUCGGGUUGUAAAGCUCUUUUGUCCGGAAAGAAAAGCGCCGGGUUAAUACCCUGGUGUCCUGACGGUACCGGAAGAUAAGCACCGGCUAACUUCGUGCCAGCAGCCG